CGGAAGUGCCUUUCGGAGUUGUGUCGAUAAGUGCGUAGAGAACACUCAUCAUCACAGCUCAGAGGGCACUUUCCUCGUUACGACACCCGAUGACCAGCUGAUUCAUCGGUGGAUCGAG
rfam:Mycobacterium vanbaalenii PYR-1, complete genome.